GCCGCCCACGACCCGGAGCGAAGGUCUCGCGAGGCCUGGGCGCUGCGGCGGCAGGAGGAGGACGGGGAAGGACGGAGCCGAGCCGCAGCUGCCUCCCUCGCUCACUCCCUCGCGCACUCGCCCGCCCCCUCCCUCCCUCCCCUCCCUUCCCCGGCCCCGGCUCUGGCCCCGGCCCAUUCGCUGUUGGGUCUUCUGCUAGGGAGGAUGUCGGGCUCGUCGCUGCCCAGCGCCCUGGCCCUCUCGCUGUUGCUGGUCUCUGGCUCCCUCCUCCCAGGGCCAGGCGCCGCUCAGAACGCUGGGUUUGUCAAGUCGCCCAUGUCAGAAACUAAGCUCACGGGGGACGCCUUUGAGCUGUACUGUGACGUGGUCGGGAGCCCCACGCCAGAGAUCCAGUGGUGGUACGCAGAAGUCAACCGGGCAGAGUCUUUCAGACAGCUGUGGGACGGUGCUCGGAAGCGCCGUGUCACCGUAAACACCGCCUACGGGUCAAACGGCGUGAGUGUGCUGAGAAUAACCCGGCUCACCUUGGAGGACUCUGGGACUUACGAGUGCAGGGCCAGCAACGACCCCAAGAGGAAUGACUUGAGGCAAAACCCCUCCAUAACAUGGAUUCGAGCCCAGGCCACCAUAAGCGUCCUUCAGAAGCCAAGGAUUGUCACCAGUGAAGAGGUCAUUAUUCGAGACAGCCCUGUUCUCCCUGUCACCCUGCAGUGUAACCUCACCUCCAGCUCUCACACCCUUACAUACAGCUACUGGACAAAGAAUGGGGUGGAACUGAGUGCCACUCGUAAGAAUGCCAGCAACAUGGAGUACAGGAUCAAUAAGCCGAGAGCUGAGGAUUCAGGCGAAUACCACUGCGUAUAUCACUUUGUCAGCGCUCCUAAAGCAAACGCCACCAUUGAAGUGAAAGCCGCUCCUGACAUCACUGGCCAUAAACGGAGUGAGAACAAGAAUGAAGGGCAGGAUGCCACUAUGUAUUGCAAGUCAGUUGGCUACCCCCACCCAGACUGGAUAUGGCGCAAGAAGGAGAACGGGAUGCCCAUGGACAUUGUCAAUACCUCUGGCCGCUUCUUCAUCAUCAACAAGGAAAAUUACACUGAGUUGAACAUUGUGAACCUGCAGAUCACAGAAGACCCUGGCGAGUAUGAAUGUAAUGCCACCAACGCCAUUGGCUCCGCCUCUGUUGUCACUGUCCUCAGGGUGCGGAGCCACCUGGCCCCACUCUGGCCUUUCUUGGGAAUUCUGGCUGAAAUUAUCAUCCUUGUGGUGAUCAUUGUUGUGUAUGAGAAGAGGAAGAGGCCAGAUGAGGUUCCUGACGAUCAUCAGGCAGAUUGAGCUUGAGGAGAAUCCAAGUCAAGCCUAGAAGCCACCCCAAGAUGGCAGGCCACCUGGCCUUUCAGGCAGAUUUAAGGUAUCUAACUGGUUGUCACAUGGUUGCCUGGUGUAGCCCCUGUAGGUAACUGCCCCAGCCCAGUCAGACUGUUCUCAGAAAAGCCAUUGGAACAAGCCAGCCUUUGGUUCCUUGGUUGGUCCCUUUGAUAGGUUUCCAGCGCUCUCUGCUGGGUGGCUUUCCAUCUGUGUCUCACAGACAAAGGAGAGUCUGAUGUAUCCACCCAUCUAGUGUAAGACAGAGAUAGUAAAGGCGGAACAAAUGGAGUCCAUGCCCCGAGGCUGUGCCCUCAAGCUGGCCUAGGGUCAGAGAAGGGAGGAGAUGGUAGCAGCAGAACCACAGCACACCACUGAGCACUGGAAAGAGCAAGAGCUGAAAUCUUAGGUUAUUGGAUAUGCCUAGAGUCAGAAAAGCCUUGGGAAAUUUUUGGUGAUCGAUUUUUCCUGUGAAGGGGGAAGCUGCUGAUGGAGACUUGUAUCUGCAGUACUUCAGGUUCCCAGCUGGCUCCCCAUCCCCACCCUAUAACAUGACCGGCGUACAGAAAUUAAUUGGCCGACUGUUACCACCACUAGUCUGUCCCUGGCUAGACUAGACAGAUGGGUGUGCCCCUGGGCUCAGUGGUAGCCGACCCGGGGUGAUGGUGGGGUUGCCAGCUGUAGUCCAGCUGUUCUGGGGCCUGUGUUUGUGCACCUGUGGUGCUGUAUCCUGCCCCACAGAGCUGGCUGUCCAGUGGAGAAUACAAAGUGACAUCUGGUGCUCCCUCAGAAAGAGUGUGGCCCCAGAGGCAUGCCAGUGGCUUUAGACUCUCUGGGAGGACAUGUUUGAGAGCAACAGCCCCUUCCCCAUCUUUUCCUUUCUUCUCAGCAGUUAUAAAUCUCUCUGCCUGCAGUAAGUAGAGUGAGUGGCUGGUGAGGAGGUUUGUUGAUGACACUGACAAUAUCUGGUGACUCCCUCCAGAUGUGCACUCAGCAGUGAGCUGGGCAGAGGCGUGGGAAGGACGUUGGCUGGGAGCAGACGGCCUCAGCAAAUGAAUCUCUAGUUUCCUGCAACCUGGGAGUGUCCCCAGGAGUUUUACUUUCCUACUUUAUGAAGUGAACCUGCUUUCUUUGGGAUUUCAUGUACUCCUAAUGCUUUCUCUCUCCAGGUAUUUCUCUUUCCUGCUACAUAUUAGGACUCCCAAGGCAAGAGUGCACCUUUAUUUAGACCUGGGAGUAAAGGGAAAGAGUUGCCUGUCUUUCGUGUGUUUUCAGCUUUGGCUCUGUGGGAUCAGUUAUGCCUCAUUCCUGAAAAGGGCCUUUUUAUCCCCCCAGAAUGCUUUUGCUUUGCCAAUACCACCUUCCUCAGCCUGCCUUUUGGAAAGGUUGAGAAGCUAAAAAGUCAGGUAAGAGAAGGCAGAGAUGGACUUCAGAACCUGAUUUUUAAAUUUUAAGGCAAGGCUGGCUGCCACUGGUGAGAGUGAUGCAGCAGCCUAGCGUGUUCCCAGCAGAGGUCUAGUCUUUGCCCUAAGAAGUCACCGCGCUUAUGAGGUUGCUAUCACAGUGCAUGUGGCAGGUUAGAUUUGAGAAAUGCUUAGGAUUGUUCUGUUGGACAAGUGCAGACACCUGCCCAGGGAAGCAGCUCUUUUUUUGUAAGAGUUUCUUGGUUACUGAAUUCAAAUGGGGGACCAGUUUGUUAUAGGAGACAUCUGUGGCCAGCAAAUCUGAACAGCUUCCUAGAGGGAAAGUACCUCUUUUAAACUAAGUUAUUAUAGACAGUGAACGAAUCCUACCCUUAAAAGAGAUGACGGCAGGGUAAGUGCAAAGUAAAACCUCCUUGCUCUAGUCUCUUGGGAGAGUAUUGUAAUGAAAGCAGCCUUUACUUCGUUGUUGUUGCAUUGGGGUGAAAAAUCUGAGAUGCUGGAAUGAUCGCAAUGUUUGCCUUCUCUCCUUCCCUUCCUGACAGCCAGUGUGGGCCAGGCUUCACUCUCCAUCUUCACACCCUGCCCUUGCUCCAGUAUUUCCAUUCUGUUUUUCUCCUCUGUCUCUUUCUCUCUUUCUCUCAAACUCCUCCCUGCUUCCACCCCUGCCCGCUUUUCUUCUCCUUUCCUGGAAGUAAUCAUUAAACAAAAGAAAAAGUUGAAUGUUCUUUGGUGAGUUUUCCUUCUUCUCUGCCUUUUCCUUCUUUAGCCAGUUCCCCUCAACCCCUGUGCACUCCAUAGGAAGGACAAACUUACCUGUCUGCUUUCUUCCCAUGUGCUCCUCCCCAAAUUUUCAUAUAGAUAUAUAUAUAUACACUCCUUUUGGAAUAAACGAAGAGGUACAUUAUAUUUGGCACAAACUUGGGAGUGUUAAGAGGUGAUAAGUGUUUACCUAUCAGAUAACCAUCUGUGGCUCUGUGUUGGAUUUUUUUUAUACCAUUAGGAAAAUGGGAAUUUUUUUAUAGGCCUGGCAUACUUCUACUUUGCCAAAUAGCACUUUAUUAUCAAGAUACACCCAUGGCUCAUUUCAGACUCACUGAACUUUUUUUAUGUGAAUACACAGUCGUCAUAUUUUGGGCAGUCUGUGAGUUCUUGGUAACUCAUCUCCUUACUACAAAAGCACUAAGUGAACAAUACAAAAGUAUAAAAGCACAAAUUUGAACUUACAUAGUUUAGUUUAAGUAUGUUUCACUAGAAAAUCAAAUAUUUAGAUUUGUCACAUUGAAAAUGCUUAGGAUUGAGGUUUAGCUGCUUCCUUUAAAAAAAAAAAAAAAAGCCCCAUGUCUUUUUUCUUUACCUACUGGAGUAUUCUCAGACCAUUUCCUACAUGAAAGCACCCACCUGCAUUCCUUUAGUCCCCUGUAUGGUCUCUGAGGAUCAGUGCCCACUAGGUUGUCUUGUAGGUGGACUAAUCUACAGAUCACCUUUACCUUCAGUAUUUUCAGGAACAAGUGAAUCAUGGAGUCAAAUAAGAGCUUUGUUUUGUUCACUUGACUCACCACUUGACUGUAUUCCCUGAAAAUGUUAAAUGAUAAUUCUCUAAAAAGACCAGGUCAAGCUAGCAGCCUCUAGGCUUCCAUCCAUGUCACAGCUGGGCACCUGCUUGGGUGCACCUUCUGUGUUGGUGUCCUGCCGACUGCACUCCAGGAGCAGUCAGCCUGUGCUCCUGAGUCUCCCCUCCCCAGACCCUGGAGGAAUGGGGAGUGAACCCACUUAGUUGCUGAGGCCUGCAGUUCUUUUGGAUAUUUUAGUGACCUCACAGACAGCAAAUUAAAACAGGAGCUGAUUUAAGAAAAGAAGUGCUGGCACCAAAAAAGAACUUUCUGUUUUUACCUUGGGAUAAUUUUUUAUAAGCAAGUCAAAGGGACUCUCUUUAAGUUACUGAUGGAGAAGAUAUUUGAGGUUUUUUGGGGGGCCAUUUUUAGUGGCUCUGAUAUAUCCAAGCUCUUUUAGACACUUUAGAAUGAAGAGCUGUUCUAAUGUUCCAAAAUCUAUUAGUUGGUCAAAACAUUUGGUAGCAUAUGAAGCUUUAUACAGGCUAGGGAUAUUGGAAAAGAAAUGUGACUUUUAAAAUGACACCUAAAACAUGCAUUCGGUGUCUGGUCUGUUAACUAGGGGCCAUCUGGGUCAAUAACAAGUUACCUCAUGGAGAAAAUGCAAUAGGACCAAACAAGGAAAUAGGAAGUAACUCAGUCUCUCUUGGGUUUAAUGCUAACCUGCUACGGUCAGGCAAAAUUUAAGUGGAUUUAGAAACCAUAAAACCUUCUAGUGAGAUGAAUGCAGUGACAAAGGACCUUUGACCAGAGUCAACUCUUCAUUAUUCGGACUUUAAAGCCAUCUUUUUGGAGGUGAUAUUGUAUUAGGCAAUCCGUUAUUUACUAGACAUUGCAGAGCACCCCUUCUAGAUGACGAGGCGGAUAUAGGGGGAGUGAGGGCUGUGGUCCAUUCAGUUGGGAAGAUGGAACACGCAGAUAAAUCAGUGUGUGCUACAGUUCCACCGGUAACUUCACUCUCAUAAGGUGGAUUCCAGAAGCAUCUUGUUUCCAUUCUCCCCCCAGUCCUCUUCCUCUCAUCUAGCCAGUGGCUGUAAUACUGAGGUGGAGAGAACAGUCAUUGUUUAAGCUGGCUAUCUUUUGGCCUGAGGGUUUGGGGUAUGUUGAUAUUUGUCGGUUACUAUGACUUCUUUUUUUUCCCCCCUCAAUUGCAUCAAACCCUUAAAACAUGGUGAUGAUGAACCAGCUGGACCAAUGAAAACCAACUCUACCAACAAUCACAAAGAUAAAAACUUGCGCCAGAGAAACACAAAUUAAGUACUG